AGGGGCUUCCACUUCACAGAACCAAUCCUCGAAAGCAGUAAUACGUGUAUCAGCGGAGCUAGGAGAUUGCUAUCUCAUGAAGACAAUGGGAUCAUGUGAGUUCGACGGCAUUACCAUUUCUUUAUUUUCUUGUUGUGUAUCAUAAUAUUAAUAAUUCCCCCCCCCCCUAAAAAAAAGAAGUAUUUUCUCGAUACUUUUCAUGCACAAAUUAUAUUACUAGAAGGCGGUGCAAGCAUAUAAAAACAUGUAGGCCUUUUCAGGUUUCUUUAGCCGGAUCUUUUCAUGAACCUCGAGAAAAGAGAUGCUUUGGAUAA